GAUGAACGCUGGCGGCGUGCCUAAUACAUGCAAGUCGAGCGAACAGAUGAGGAGCUUGCUCCUCUGACGUUAGCGGCGGACGGGUGAGUAACACGUGGAUAACCUACCUAUAAGACUGGGAUAACUUCGGGAAACCGGAGCUAAUACCGGAUAAUAUAUUGAACCGCAUGGUUCAAUAGUGAAAGACGGUUUUGCUGUCACUUAUAGAUGGAUCCGCGCCGCAUUCGCUAGUUGGUAAGGUAACGGCUUACCAAGGCAACGAUGCGUAGCCGACCUGAGAGGGUGAUCGGCCACACUGGAACUGAGACACGGUCCAGACUCCUACGGGAGGCAGCAGUAGGGAAUCUUCCGCAAUGGGCGAAAGCCUGACGGAGCAACGCCGCGUGAGUGAUGAAGGUCUUCGGAUCGUAAAACUCUGUUAUUAGGGAAGAACAAAUGUGUAAGUAACUAUGCACGUCUUGACGGUACCUAAUCAGAAAGCCACGGCUAACUACGUG
rnacentral:rRNA from 1 species